AGGUGCACUAUGUCAGCCUUCGACCCGUACAAGGUUAAAAUGGCAAGCCCCAGCAGUCACGUUGAUCGGCCCCUCGUGAAGAGUCCGGCCUUGCAGAAUGGUUCUCUAGGCAUACAGACUAUUGAUGCAAAUUGGCCAACUUGAGCUUUCUUCAGCCUAAUUUAUCCAAUGUGAACUGUGAACUCUUAGAUUUAAUUAGAGGUUCUAUAAUAUUAGUUUUCCAAUGUAUCGCAUGAAAAGGAAAACAAUCCAAAUGACAAAGGGUGUAAAGAACAGACAUCACACUGAAAAGUUAUCGUAACUAUACUAAAGAGUACAUGUCUACGGGGAAGAAAACACCAAUGAGAAACUUUAUUUAGGGGGUUCGAAACAUGAACUGAACUCAGUUACUCUUAAUUUUAAUGUACUAACAAAAGCAUUUAUUGCCACGUACAAUCUGUAUAUACAACUGAAUGAAAACUGUACAAUUGCUGAACUAGCAAGUUGUUUAAUGUAUUCUUCAUAUAUCAAUAUUUUUAAAACGUAAAUGAAGUAAUUCUUAUACAAUGAAAAAAUGCCACAUUUGAUCACGGUAAAAAUCACACUGUACGAUCAGAAUGUUGUUUUAGGCUUUACAGCAUCAUGAUCUCAGCAAUGCAUGGAAUAAUCAGCGCUUACAGUAAUAUAACUUUCCCCAAUUUACAAGGCAAUCGAUAAUUAGGGGUAUCGAAUGGUCUUAGCGAGCAUGCGAGCAGUUUGUUUAUUUUUGCGGGCUCGAGCAGCUGUCAAAUUCUUCUCGCGAGCAGCGAGCACUUUAGAAAAUACAGAUGGCGAGCAACGAGCGGUUUAGAAAAAUAAAGAUGGCGAGCAGCGAGCACUUCGAGUACAGUAUUGACUAUUUGUAAUCUAGUGGAGUGAAUCUGUUAUUAAAACAAACCAAAGAGAACAAAUGAA